AAGAAACUGGAAAUUAUGGAAAAGGAAAGAGAAAGGGUGAAGAAAGUGGAACUCAUACAGAAAGCAAUCGACCAAUUAAUCAAACAUGAACAACUUCAAUCAAAAACAUGUCAUCUUCUUGAUGACAGUUUCGUUGCCGUUGAUAAUGAUGAUGAUGAAGAAGCCGACCACCGCCACCAACUCCUCUCACAACUUGUAACUCAGCUGGAUUCACUAAAAGAAGAAUCUCAAUUGAAUGAAUCAACCAACUUACAAGAAGCACCAGUUGAAAUUCAAUCUGAAGAAGAAGAUAAGGUAGUAAAAGAGUUGAGGAAGAUACAGAAGCAGAAUUUUAUCACACAAUGUCUUUUAUCAGCCAUGAUUCUCCUCACCUUGACAUGGCAACUAUCUGAGGUUUCUAUCAUUUUGAAAAUGAAAGAUGGAUUAAAUCAUCCCUUUAGAUCCAUUACUAGUAUGCUUACGGGCUGGAUGAAACGCCCUCCACCUCUAUUAAAUGGUCCAGACGACCAUCUAAACAACUCUGAAAAACAUCAAGUUGAAGCUAUGUCUCUCCCAAAGCUAAAAGUUCCAGAGCUUCCACAUAUGGAGUUGCCGUCUUUCGACUUCAUCAAUGAAGAAGACUAGCAUUUCCCAUUCACUCACUUCUUACACAAGUAUUUCAAAACACCAACAACUCAUGCUGUAAUAUUGUAAACCCUAUGAAUAAAUAAGGUAUUAUUAGGAUUGGUUUGGUUGAAGCAUGGAUUCAUGGUGCAGUGCACCAGUAUACUUUUGCAUAAUU
rnacentral:misc_RNA from 1 species